GUGCUUGUUUCAACAGCACAUAUACUAAAACUGGAAUGAUACAGAGAAGGUUAGCAUGGCCCCUGGACAGGGAUGACAUGCAAAUUAGUGAAGCAUUUGAUAUUUUU
rnacentral:snRNA from 1 species